rnacentral:lncRNA from 1 species
AUGCUAAAAGCAAGAUCAAUUUCUGACUUUUUCUCUGUGCAGAAGAAGCCUCCUGACCUCGGUGGAGGUGCCCGCAGCUGCAGAACCAACUGUGACUUCAUAUUUACAGCUGAAAUUUACACGCAGCUCUGCCCUCCCGACACCCCCAGAUGGCCACGGUCCCUUCAAACGCACAUUGGAGGAGAGGAAGAUGUAUGCUUCUUUUUAAACAAAAGUGCCUGUGACCCAUGAAACAAUUCAAGAAAAGGUCAGUUUUCAGAGAAGCCCAGGAUCCAGCCAGUGCCAUUUUUUUCUGCUGAGUCCUGGGCAUGUGCUAAUUUGUAGUUCAUUGUCAUAGUGACGAUUGAGGUCCAAAAACAGAAAGUUAAUUCUCUCUUUCAGAAGUCUCCAGAGCUAGACAAUUGGGUACAAAGUCCAGUGGGUCUUCAGAAGGGAUAUGUGAGGCUUGAACUGUGCCAUCUGUAGCCCACCUUUAUGGCUGGUAGUCAUGCUCUGGAGAAACCUGGGCAACUGGGAUCACAUGGAUAUCACUGGGCCUCUCCUGGGCCACCUGGUCACAUUCAGGUGCUGAGCACAGCUAAGUGUACCUGGAACGCUGUGGAGGAGGCUGAGAAUCCUCUUGAUCUGCCAGGAAGCCCAGGAGAGACAUGUGUCUGGUUAAUAAUAGAACCAACUACUUUUCAAGGCUUUUUAAUUUAUUAGAAGGAGGCUUCAGAUGGCAGAUGGUUGAAACUGGAAGGAAAAAAGGGGGCAAAUAGUACUUCUUUUUGCUCAUGGCAUCACCUUUGGAAACAACUUCCAUCCUCAUCUCUUUGGUCUGUUGGGGGCUGGGCUGAUAAUCACCUAUAGGAGAAGACUUAGGCAUAAUCCCCUCCUUCCUCUAACUGAGACCAUGCAUUUCAUUUAAUUGGCAUCACCCCAUGGCCCUACGACAUCUAGAAUCGGUCUCUGUGGCCUUUCUUAUGCCCCAGGAAGGAUUCUUGAGGCCAACC